CCCUGCCUUUUGUACACACCGCCCGUCGCUACUACCGAUUGAAUGGUUUAGUGAGACUUCUGGAUUGUCUGAGUUUGCGCUGUUUCAGUGCUUUUUUAGAUGAGAAGUUAGUCAAACUUGAUCAUUUA
rnacentral:rRNA from 1 species